GUUAAGUAAAUUCAAUGUGCUGAAUACCGUCUAUAGGGAAGACCGUCUACAAGCUCUUUCGUCACGUUUAACCCUUGAGUUUGAACACGUACUACAAAAGGUCGGGAGAGGAGAAGGAGUGAAGCUCUUUCUUUCUGACUGUGUCCGAGUGAUGUAAGUAUAAAGACGAUUGACGACCAGUCUGGCCCAGUGACCUUGCCUGUGAAGCCGAUGGUCCUGGGCUAGAAUAAGGUCUUACUUUACCUUAUUUGAGCCCAGGACCAUCGGCUUCACCCGGUGCCCGGUAAGGGCAUUUAUUUGUGUGAUGAUUUUUUAUAUAUAUGAGUAUGUAUUUAUCUAUAUACAUACUCAUAUAUAUAAAAACAAAGUAACAAGUGUACCUAGGUCUAUCCAACGCCGGCUGGGUAAUGUUAAGUAUUUUUGUGGAAUGCUCAGGAAAGCAGUUUUGAUAUUUUAUGUAUAUAUGCAUAUAAUGUGUCGAAAGAUGGCAGUAAAUUUAUUGUGGCUACAAAAAUUUUUUUGACAAUCCACUUUUUUUUUUAAAUUCUCUUUGGCACAGCCAAGGCUAUCAAAAUCGCUGCCAACUUAGCUUGGUCUAACUCUAGAUGAUUAUCAUUUAAUAAAUAAUUAUCAUUUAAUCAUUUAAUAUUUAAUCGUUCAAAUACAUAUUUGUAACUCCUUUUAUGCUUGUCAAUCCCUAACACGAUUUUUUGAUACUUCUCAAUAAAUAAAUAAAUAUAAAAAGUAUUGAACUCUCUGAAAUGAGAUGCCAAUAAUAGCUAUUACGAUUUAUUAUCCACUGACCGUAGUAGUAUUAGAUGGUAGUAGUAAUUAUGGCUUAAUUUAAUUACAGAUCUGUAGUAACUAGUAAAGUAAUCAGUAAAGAAAAGCGUGACAGCAGGCAAUUGGGGUCAAUGUGAUUGAUUGGCAGUUUACAGAAUAACAUACUUCAACCAUCCAACACGCGCUCCAGUUGAAGCUACUCGUUAAGGAGCGAAACAUGACUGUCGAGCAAUUUUCGACUUUAAAAAACAUAUAUAAGGAGACAGGCACCGUCAGCUGUGAGAAGGUGUAAUUUCAUGGGGCCUAAAGGCACCAAGCGAAUUAUUUUACAAAGAGAAAUAAAAAACAAACUUUUUCUAAGUACAUGUAAUUAUUUAUUUUUAUUAGAUUAUUAAAUUACAAUAAUACAGUAAUCUAAUAAAUAUUUCAAACAUGUAUUGUAACUACGACUUACAUCAACAAAUUAAUUUAUUUUA